rnacentral:tRNA from 1 species
UGGUAAUUAGUUUAAGCUAAAACAAGUGAUUUCGACUCACUAGACUAUGGUCUACCAUAAUUACUAA